rnacentral:rRNA from 1 species
GAUGAACGCUGGCGGCGUGCCUAAUACAUGCAAGUCGAGCGAACAGACGAGGAUCUUGCUCCUCUGACGUGAGCGGCGGACGGGUGAGUAACACGUGGAUAACCUACCUAUAAGACUGGGAUAACGUCGGGAAACCGGAUCUAAUACCGGAUAAUAUAUUGAACCGCAGGGUUCAAUAGUGAAAGACGGUUUUGCUGGCACUUAUAGAUGGAUCCGCGCCGCAUUAGCUAGUUGGUAAGGUAACGGCUUACCAAGGCAACGAUGCGUAGCCGAACUGAGAGGGUGAUCGGCCACACUGGAACUGAGACACGGUCCAGACUCCUACGGGAGGCAGCAGUAGGGAAUCUUCCGCAAUGGGCGAAAGCCUGACGGAGCAACGCCGCGUGAGUGAUGAAGGUCUUCGGAUCGUAAAACUCUGUUAUUAGGGAAGAACAAAUGUGUAAGUAACUAUGCACGUCUUGACGGUACCUAAUCAGAAAGCCACGGCUAACUACGUG